rnacentral:misc_RNA from 1 species
GAGAUGCCAAGAAGAAAUGAUCUGCUGGUGAUAGUUCCUUUAAGCCAAAUGCAGAAAACGUUUUCCAUGUUAUUUAUGUUUCUCUGGCAACUCAUGCAGAAUCCUUUCAAUUUUGGUUGAGUCACUCAAAUUAUAUUUGCAUGUUUAUGUGUUAGUACUCAGAAACUUAGUGAAUUUGGGAGUGUACCGUUUUUCUCAACAUUCUCCUUAUUUUAUAAUCACCAUUUCAAGUGC